UACGAAGGGGGCUAGCGUUGCUCGGAAUCACUGGGCGUAAAGGGUGCGUAGGCGGGUCUUUAAGUCAGGGGUGAAAUCCUGGAGCUCAACUCCAGAACUGCCUUUGAUACUGAAGAUCUUGAGUCCGGGAGAGGUGAGUGGAACUGCGAGUGUAGAGGUGAAAUUCGUAGAUAUUCGCAAGAACACCAGUGGCAGAGGCGACUCACGUGCCCG
rnacentral:rRNA from 1 species